GACGAACGCUGGCGGCGUGCCUAAUACAUGCAAGUAGAACGCAGUUGCGAACGGGUGAGUAACGCGUAGGUAACUGCCUGGUAGCGGGGGCUAACUAGUGGAAACGAUAGCUAAUACAGCAUACUACCAGAUGGUCCUGCGUUGUAGUAGCUAGUUGGUGGGGUAACGGCUCACCAAGGCAAGGAUACAUAGCCGACCUGGGAGGGGGAUCGGCCAAACUGGGACGGGGACCCGGCCCAGACUCCUACGGGAGGCAGCAGUAGGGAAUCUUCGGCAAUGGACGGAAGUCUGACCGAGCAACGCCGCGUGAUGGAAGAAGGUUUUCGGAUCGGAAAGCUCUGUUGUAAGAGAAGCGGUAUCUUACCAGAAAGGGACGGCUAACUACGUGCCAGCAGCCGCGGUAAUUC
rnacentral:rRNA from 1 species